GCACCGGUUGUUUAAUGGUAGAAUACGGCCUUGCCAAGGCCGUGGCCCGGGUCCGAUUCCCGGUCGGUGCA
rnacentral:tRNA from 1 species